GCCGAAGUAGCUCAGUUGGUAGAGCAACGCAUUCGUAACGCGUAGGUCGUGGGUUCAAAUCCCACCUUCGGCU
rnacentral:tRNA from 1 species